rnacentral:rRNA from 1 species
UACGGAGGGGGCUAGCGUUGUUCGGAAUUACUGGGCGUAAAGCGCACGUAGGCGGCUUUGUAAGUUAGAGGUGAAAGCCCGGGGCUCAACUCCGGAACUGCCUUUAAGACUGCAUCGCUAGAAUCCGGGAGAGGUGAGUGGAAUUCCGAGUGUAGAGGUGAAAUUCGUAGAUAUUCGGAAGAACACCAGUGGCGAAGGCGGCUCACUGGACCGGCAUUGACGCUGAGGUGCGAAAGCGUGGGGAGCAAACAGG